AAAACGGGAAUCAACAUAUGUACGUUGGUUUUGGAGAAAGCGACAAUCUGCUCCUAAAUUUUGUCACAUCUGGCGUUACAGUGGAACGAAUAUGGAACAUUAAGGUUACAUACCUACAAUGUAACAGUCCUCAA